rnacentral:rRNA from 1 species
UACGUAGGGUGCAAGCGUUGUCCGGAAUUAUUGGGCGUAAAGAGCUCGUAGGCGGUCUGUCGCGUCGGCUGUGAAAACCUGGAGCUCAACUCCGGGCCUGCAGUCGAUACGGGCAGACUGGAGUUCGGCAGGGGAGACUGGAAUUCCUGGUGUAGCGGUGAAAUGCGCAGAUAUCAGGAGGAACACCGGUGGCGAAGGCGGGUCUCUGGGCCGAUACUGACGCUGAGGAGCGAAAGCGUGGGGAGCGAACAGG